rnacentral:rRNA from 1 species
CCUACGGGACGCAGCAGUGGGGAAUAUUGCACAAUGGGGGAAACCCUGAUGCAGCGACGCCGCGUGAGUGAAGAAGUAUUUCGGUAUGUAAAGCUCUAUCAGCAGGGAAGAAGAAGGACGGUACCUGAGUAAGAAGCCCCGGCUAACUACGUGCCAGCAGCCGCGGUAAUACGUAGGGGGCAAGCGUUAUCCGGAUUUACUGGGUGUAAAGGGAGCGUAGACGGCGGCGCAAGCCAGAUGUGAAAGCCCGGGGCUCAACUCCGGGACUGCAUUUGGAACUGUGUGGCUGGAGUGUCGGAGAGGCA